UACGUAGGGGGCAAGCGUUGUCCGGAAUCAUUGGGCGUAAAGAGCGCGUAGGCGGCCCGGUCAGUCGGUUGUGAAAGUCCGGGGCUCAACCCUUGAAUGCCGACCGAUACUGCCGGGCUAGAGUCCGGAAGAGGCGAGUGGAAUUCCUGGUGUAGCGGUGAAAUGCGCAGAUAUCAGGAGGAACACCAAUGGCGAAGGCAGCUCGCUGGGACGGUACUGACGCUGAGACGCGAAAGCGUGGGGAGCAAACAGG
rnacentral:rRNA from 1 species